GAAGAAACAACGAUGUUUUCGAUGGUGCAGGACAGGUGCAUGUGGAACACCAGAUCACUGGUAACCUUGUGGUCAGUGUUGCGUGGACUGAAUUCAUCCACCAUGUCACCAGCCAGGACGCUGGGAGGAUCCAAAUGGGAGCCGACAGCAGGACAGGUUAUGUGUACAGGCUGGAUUAUCUUUAUUACAAUCACCAGGGAGGAUCGUUUUCAGAUCAGAUGAAGAAUUUAAUAGCAUUUCUCAGCCAGUUUGAUAACUGAUAUCAAUGAAGGCCAUCUCGGGUGACUUCUAUCUUUUAGCUGUGGGUGUAUUUCAGCUUCACUUGUCUAAGUUUGAAUAAAUAAGAAAAAAACUGUAAGUAGAAACAAUAAAAUGAAAGAGCAAGUAAUCCCCGGGGGUAUCAUGGGAGGACAGUUGGGUUGCGUCCCACUUUUCUGCUGCUUUGUGUUAUGUGUUCUUCUCCAGUUACACUGAUGAAAAAGCAGAUUGGGGCUUGACAGGACCUCAUUGUCCUCCUGGUGGCAUCGCUCCAUCGCCCUCUGCCGCGCCGCCUCUCACUCUGUGAAGGACACAUGGUGCCAUUACUGCUGCCGUCAGAAGGAGAGAAUCCACGUUUCCCCCUCUAUGAGAUGACUUCUGCCGCUUUUGUUUUGCACCGAAGAGUUAAAAGUGCUGCUUUGUAGUCACUGUCAGUGUGAUCAGAUUUAGCAGGAAGGUGGUGUUCAACGAUCAUCUGCUGCAGCGCUUUGUUCCUCUAAAACGUAUAUAUU